rnacentral:ncRNA from 2 species
AUAGCGAUGCAGGGGAACUAAGUGUAGUUGAGAAUGACAGAAGAGGCUGUCUAACCCUUUGAACCUGACAGUUAACACUGUGGUAGGGAGCAUUCGGAAUUUAGUA